UCUCCGCAUUCGAUUAGAGUUUGAUCCUGGCUCAGAACGAUCGCUGGCGGCAGGCUUAACACAUGCAAGUCAAACGCCCCGCAAGGGGAGUGGCAGACGGGUGAGUAACGCGUGGGAAUCUACCCAGCUCUACGGAAUAACUCAGGGAAACUUGUGCUAAUACCGUAUACGUCCGAUAGGAGAAAGAUUUAUCGGAGUUGGAUGAGCCCGCGUUGGAUUAGCUAGUUGGUGGGGUAAUUGCCUACCAAGGCGACGAUCCAUAGCUGGUCUGAGAGGAUGAUCAGCCACAUUGGGACUGAGACACGGCCCAAACUCCUACGGGAGGCAGCAGUGGGGAAUAUUGGACAAUGGGCGCAAGCCUGAUCCAGCCAUGCCGCGUGAGUGAUGAAGGCCCUAGGGUUGUAAAGCUCUUUCAACGGUGAAGAUAAUGACGGUAACCGUAGAAGAAGCCCCGGCUAACUUCGUGCCAGCAGCCGCGGUAAUACGAAGGGGGCUAGCGUUGUUCGGAAUUACUGGGCGUAAAGCGCACGUAGGCGGAUAUUUAAGUCAGGGUGAAAUCCCGGGGCUCAACCCCGGAACUGCCUUUGAUACUGGGUAUCUCGAGUCCGAGAGAGGUGAGUGGAAUUCUGAGUGUAGAGUGAAAUUCGUAGAUAUUCGGAGGACACGAGUGGCGAAGCGGCUCACUGGCUCGGUACCGACGCUGAAGUGCCGAAAGCCGUGGGGGAGCUAACAGGGA
rnacentral:rRNA from 1 species